AGAGUGAACGCUGGCGGCAGGCCUAACACAUGCAAGUCGAACGGACCCUUCGGGGUUAGUGGCGGACGGGUGAGUAACACGUGGGAACGUGCCUUUUGGUUCGGAAUAGCUCCUGGAAACGGGUGGUAAUGCCGAAUGUGCCCUUCGGGGGAAAGAUUUAUCGCCAUUAGAGCGGCCCGCGUCUGAUUAGCUAGUUGGUGAGGUAAAGGCUCACCAAGGCUACGAUCAGUAGCUGGUCUGAGAGGAUGACCAGCCACAUUGGGACUGAGACACGGCCCAAACUCCUACGGGAGGCAGCAGUGGGGAAUCUUGCGCAAUGGGCGAAAGCCUGACGCAGCCAUGCCGCGUGAAUGAUGAAGGUCUUAGGAUUGUAAAAUUCUUUCACCGGGACGAUAAUGACGGUACCCGGAGAAGAAGCCCGCUAACUCGCGCCAGCAGCCGC
rnacentral:rRNA from 1 species